GCAAAGGGAAGCGUGUUAGGAUGCUGCAGAUGGGAGGAUUGCCACCUGUUUUAUAUCAAUAUAUCAAUGCAGACAAAGAGCUGCAGACACUCAAUGAGGAGCCUUAAUCCUCAGAGGUUAUAAAAAAUUGUAACAGGCUGUCAGAUAUAAACAAAUUCAUUUUAAAUGAAACAUCAGUCUAAGUUUAAUUCUAACAAAACAACAACAGCUAGUUUUGGACUCAGUUACAUAAAGGGUAAAGAGUGUCUCAAAAAAUGUUAAUAUCUCUGAUGGUGCACUAGAGGGCGCUACAGCAGCAUUAUCAACCUUGUAGAAAACACAAACAUCUUCAGUAUGAGUGCUUGAAACUCCCCCGCUGCUACUCACCGCCGUUCAAACGUUUGGGGUUGACAUGGAGCAGCUAAAUCCUCCGGGUAAUCACCCGUUUAAAAGGAAACGCAGGAGAACACAGGAGAGUGCUGGCAAAAAGAGAAUGCGACAGAGCUUGGCUUGGCUUUUCGGAUAUGGCGAGAACUGAGGGAUUUGUAAUGUUGUAAAUGCCACACAAAGAUGGCGUUUUUAUUACUCAAGAGACAUCUGGAUGAUCCAUUCCAUCACCUCAUCUUACAAUGCCACAGACUGAACUGAUCAGGAAGCUGAGUUUGCUUUGGGCCUGAAACCCUUCUGAAGCGCAGUGUGACUGCAAGCAUCAUACGUGAUGGUGAAGAGAGAUUGUUGAUCUUCACAAUCAACUUUCCCCCGGGAAGAAUUUAUGCUGAGGAGUUCAAAGCAGACCGAAGUAUGUAAGAACACAGUCAGUGGUGUUUUUGCUCAGGGCUUCUGAAGAAGAUGAUCUGCAUUUCCUUUGGAGAGAAUGCAAAUUAUAUUAAAGUCUCCAGAUAGUUCAGGAGCUCUAACGGCCUCUGGCUACAGAUGUAGGUAUGUGUUUCAGAAAUGAAAAGACCUGAAAAGACAAACCCUUCAAGGCAUAGAGAAAUCACACACAUCUGUCAUGAUUGCACAGUAGCUCUGGUUUGAGAAGCUCCAGGUCUAAGUUCUCAACACUGUUGUAUCUCAGACUCAAAAGAUAAAUGUUCAAAUAAACCUGUACAGCAUUUAAGGCUUUACAAAAAACUACAGAGUUGUCUCUAUGUACUGAUUUUUUUGGGAGAAGACUCUUUAUACAUUUUUUUAAAGAUUUGCUCUCUUGUUAUAAAUAUGUAGAAAAGUAGAGCAAGUGCUGCAUACUAUUCAAAAUAUUCCUAACGAUUGUCUAUGACAAUGCAAAUAUAGAGCAAGCCUUUUAAAUGUUUAUACAAUAAUAAAUAUAAUGAUCAAAUUUACAGUAAAAAGAAAUACUGUGAAAUAUUAUUACAAUUUAAAGUACCUUUAUUUUAACUGUUUGUUUUAAUAUGUUUUUAAAAGAAUUCAUUCCUGUGAUGGCAAAGCUGAAUUUUUAGCAGGCAUUAUAACAUGAAAAAAUCAACUAUCUCACGACCAAUGCGUACGUAUUGUAGGAGGUGGCUAAUUCGUAUGAAUUUGUACGACCUCACUCGUACGAAUUCAUGCGAUUUGUCUAAACCCCAGUGACGGGUAUAGGUUUAGGGGCGGGAUAGGUCAUUCGUACGAAUUCAUACGAAUUUGGCAACUUGUAAAAUACGUACGAUUUAGCAAAAAAUUUACAAUUUUGCUUGAAUUCAUCAUAGAAUCCAUUUUUCCCCACCUUGUAAAAUACAUACAAAUUGCCGUGAGAUCGGGUUGGAAAAAAUGGUUUCUACGAUGAAUCGCGAUUCUACACUGUAAAAAAAAUCCCAGUAAAAUUUAUGGUAAAAAACCGGCAGCUGUGGUUGCCAGAACUUUACCGUAAAAAAUACAGUAGCAAAGUAAAAAAAAUCUGUUAAAUU